CCUACGGGAGGCAGCAGUGGGGGAUAUUGCACAAUGGGGGAAACCCUGAUGCAGCGACGCCGCGUGUGUGAGGACGGUUUUCGGUAUUGUAAACCACUGCCGCCAGGGAUGAAGAUGACGGUACCUGGGAAGGAAGCUCCGGCUAACUACGUGCCAGCAGCCGCGGUAAUACGUAGGGGGCGAGCGUUGUCCGGAAUUACUGGGUGUAAAGGGAGCGUAGGCGGGGAUGCAAGUCGGGUGUGAAAACUACCGGCACAACCUGUGGUCGCAUUCGAAACUGCAGCACUUGAGUGAAGGAGAGGCAAGCGGAAUUCCUAGUGUAGCGGUGAAAUGCGUAGAUAUUAGGAGGAACACCAGUGGCGAAGGCGUCCUGCUGGACUUUUACUGACGCUGAGGCUCGAAAGUGUGGGGAGCAAACAGGAUUAGAUACCCCGGUAGUC
rnacentral:rRNA from 1 species